rnacentral:rRNA from 1 species
AUUGAACGCUGGCGGCGUGCCUUACACAUGCAAGUCGAACGGCAGCAUGAUGUGUAUAUACGCAAGUAUGUAUAUAUUGAUGGCGAGUGGCGAACGGGUGAGUAAUACAUCGGGACAUGCCUAUUAGAGGGGGAUAACUAGUUGAAAGAUUAGCUAAUACCGCAUAAUCUCUGAGGAGGAAAGCUUGGGAUUUAGAGAUAGACCAGGCGCAGAUAGAUGAGCCGACGUCGGAUUAGCUAGUUGGCGGGGUAAAGGCCCACCAAGGCGACGAUCCGUAGCUGGUCUGAGAGGAUGAUCAGCCACACUGGAACUGAGACACGGUCCAGACUCCUACGGGAGGCAGCAGUGGGGAAUAUUGGACAAUGGGCGCAAGCCUGAUCCAGCCAUGCCGCGUGGGUGAAGAAGGCCUUCGGGUUGUAAAGCCCUUUUGUUGGGAAAGAAAAGCAGCCGGUUAAUACCCGGUUGUUCUGACGGUACCCAAAGAAUAAGCACCGGCUAACUUCGUGCCAGCAGCCGCCGUAA